UUAUCAUAGAUGCAAGUGAGCACUUCUAAGUGAUCAUUCAGGAAACCAGCAUCCUUCCAUCUUUGCUGCUGCCUGACCAGUAAGACGCUAGGAACACAAGAGAAUAUGUGGACUCCAACUAAGUCCCCAGAUAAUGCAUAAUUGUCACAUGCAUGAUAGGAGGAUGCCACUUUUGUAUACAUGGACCACACAGUUCUCCUCCACCUGGCUGCAGAGACACUGGAAAACCUAGCAUGCUGAAAGGCACCGUUAGCUUCCCUCCUCAGUCAGAUAUUUAUUACACAAAGGGGCACUCUUUGAAGAUUUGCUAUUAAAUGCUUCAAGUUCCUUUUUGUGUCAUUUCAUAU